rnacentral:misc_RNA from 1 species
GGCUUUUGCAGCUAAGCAGAUGUUUUAAUGAAUGACCAGACAGAAAAGCUCAAAAUAUGGAAAGACUGGAUUUAGGAUUCAAUCACUCUGGAUCUGUGCAAUCAGAGGAGUCAGCCCUGGAUUUGGAGAGAAAUUAUUUUAACCAACUUCCUUUGUCAAGUCCACCACCACUGCAAGCCUUUGCAUCAGGUUGUCAGGUCGCUGAGAGCAAUGCUGCCUACUUCUCAUGGCCUUGUCGCUUAGAUGCUGCUGAGGAUCGGGCCAAUUACUUUGGUAACCUUCAGAAGGGGGUUUUACCUGAAACCCUGGGAGGACAUCCCACGGGACAGCAAGCUACAACAUUGCUUGAAGUUAUGACCAUUAGAGCAUUUCAUAGCAAAAACUUGCGUCGCUUUAGUCUUGGUACAGCAAUCGGAUUUCGUAUCCGGCGAGGUGCUUUGACAGAGAUACCAGCUAUUCUUGUCUUUGUUGCCAGAAAAGUUCACAGGCAAUGGCUCAACCUUGUCCAAUGUCUACCGGCUUUUCUUGAGGGACCAGGUGGUGUUUGGUGUGAUGUUGAUGUUGUGGAGUUCUCAUACUUUGGGGCACCGGCAGCAACUCCAAAGGAACAGCUAUAUACUGAACUUGUUGAUGGUUUACGGGGAAGUGAUCCAUGCAUUGGUUCUGGUUCCCAGGUUGCUAGUCAGGAAACAUAUGGAACCUUGGGUGCGAUUGUUAAAAGUCGGACAGGUAUCAGGCAGGUCGGUUUCCUUACCAAUCGUCAUGUAGCUGUUGACUUGGAUUAUCCAAGCCAGAAAAUGUUUCAUCCUCUGCCACCUAGCCUGGGGCCUGGGGUGUAUUUAGGUGCUGUAGAGAGGGCUACAUCCUUCAUAACAGAUGAUCUUUGGUAUGGCAUAUUUGCUGGUACAAAUCCAGAAACGUUUGUUCGAGCUGAUGGAGCAUUUAUUCCAUUUGCAGAAGAUUUCAACAUGUUGAAUGUAACGACGUCUGUGAAAGGAAUAGGAGACAUAGGUGAUGUCAAUAAAAUAGACUUACAGUCUCCUGUCGGUAGUGUCAUUGGUAGGCAAGUGGUGAAAGUUGGAAGGAGCUCUGGUCUUACGACUGGAAACAUUAUGGC